rnacentral:rRNA from 1 species
UACGUAGGUGGCGAGCGUUGUCCGGAAUGACUGGGUUUAAAGGGGGCGCAGGCGGUCUUGCAAGUUGGAUGUGAAAUACCGGGGCUCAACUCCGGAGCUGCAUCCAAAACUGUAAGACUUGAGUGGAGUAGAGGCAAGCGGAAUUCCGAGUGUAGCGGUGAAAUGCGUAGAUAUUCGGAGGAACACCGGUGGCGAAGGCGGCUUGCUGGGCUCUAACUGACGCUGAGGCCCGAAAGUGUGGGUAG